rnacentral:tRNA from 1 species
UAGCUCAGUUGGUAGAGUGCUUGUCUUCUAUACACAAGGCCCUGGGUUCAAUCCCCAG